rnacentral:rRNA from 1 species
GAUGAACGCUGGCGGCGUGCCUAACACAUGCAAGUCGAGCGGACCAAUGCUCAUUUCAGCUUUACUGAUUUGAGCAUUGGUUAGCGGCGGACGGGUGAGUAACGCGUGGGCAACCUGCCCUGUGCAGGGGGAUAACACAGCGAAAGCUGUGCUAAUACCCCAUAAGACUACGCUAUCGCAUGAUAGAGUAGUCAAAGCUUUAGCGGCACAGGAUGGGCCCGCGUCUGAUUAGCUAGUUGGUGGGGUAACGGCCUACCAAGGCGACGAUCAGUAGCCGACCUGAGAGGGUGAUCGGCCACACUGGAACUGAGACACGGUCCAGACUCCUACGGGAGGCAGCAGUGGGGAAUAUUGCACAAUGGGGGAAACCCUGAUGCAGCAACGCCGCGUGAGCGAAGAAGGCCUUCGGGUCGUAAAGCUCUGUCCUAAGGGAAGAAGUAUGACGGUACCUUAGGAGGAAGCCCCGGCUAACUACGUGCCAGCAGCCGCGGUAAUACGUAGGGGGCGAGCGUUAUCCGGAAUCACUGGGCGUAAAGGGUGCGUAGCGGCCGAGUAAGCCAGAGGUGAAAGGCUACGGCUUACCCGUAGUAAGCCUUUGGAACUACUUGGCUUGAGUGCAGGAGAGGAGAGUGGAAUUCCUAGUGUAGCGGUGAAAUGCGUAGAUAUUAGAGGAACACCAGUGGCGAAGCGACUUUCUGGACUUGUACUGACGCUGAGCACGAAAGCGUGGGGAGCAAACAGGAUUAGAUACCCUGGUAGUCCACGCCGUAAACGAUGAUUGCUAGGUGUCGGGGGUUCACACCCUCGGUGCCGGAGUUAACGCAAUUAGCACUCCGCCUGGGGAGUACGG